UUUGUAGAUUGUAUCUUGAGAGCGGAUUAAAGUCUGUUGGAACACAGCGCCUUAGAGGGUGACAGCCCCGUAAAAUCUAUUCUCAUUGUAAGAUACUUUCGAAGAGUCGAGUUGUUUGGGAAUGCAGCUCUAAGUGGGAGGUAAAUUCCUUCUAAAGCUAAAUAUUGACGAGAGACCGAUAGCGAACAAGUACUGUGAAGGAAAGAUGAAAAGCACUUUGAAAAGAGAGUGAAAAAGUACGUGAAAUUGUUAAAAGGGAAGGGUAUUGAAUCAGACUUGGUGCUGUUGUUCAACUGUGUCCCGGCACAGUGUACUCAGCAGUACUAGGCCAAGGUGGGGUGUUUGGGAGUGAAAAAGAAGUUGGAACGUAACUCUUCGGAGUGUUAUAGCCUACUUUCAUAGCUCCUCAGGCGCCUCAGGACUGCGCUUCGGCAAGGACCUUGGCAUAAUGAUUCUAUACCGCCCGUCUUGAAACACGGACCAAA
rnacentral:rRNA from 1 species